AAAUUGAAGAGUUUGAUCAUGGCUCAGAUUGAACGCUGGCGGCAGGCCUAACACAUGCAAGUCGAGCGGUAGCACAGAGAGCUUGCUCUCGGGUGACGAGCGGCGGACGGGUGAGUAAUGUCUGGGAAACUGCCUGAUGGAGGGGGAUAACUACUGGAAACGGUAGCUAAUACCGCAUAAUGUCGCAAGACCAAAGUGGGGGACCUUCGGGCCUCAUGCCAUCAGAUGUGCCCAGAUGGGAUUAGCUAGUAGGUGGGGUAAUGGCUCACCUAGGCGACGAUCCCUAGCUGGUCUGAGAGGAUGACCAGCCACACUGGAACUGAGACACGGUCCAGACUCCUACGGGAGGCAGCAGUGGGGAAUAUUGCACAAUGGGCGCAAGCCUGAUGCAGCCAUGCCGCGUGUGUGAAGAAGGCCUUCGGGUUGUAAAGCACUUUCAGCGGGGAGGAAGGCGGUGAGGUUAAUAACCUCACCGAUUGACGUUACCCGCAGAAGAAGCACCGGCUAACUCCGUGCCAGCAGCCGCGGUAAUACGGAGGGUGCAAGCGUUAAUCGGAAUUACUGGGCGUAAAGCGCACGCAGGCGGUCUGUCAAGUCGGAUGUGAAAUCCCCGGGCUUAACCUGGGAACUGCAUUCGAAACUGGCAGGCUAGAGUCUUGUAGAGGGGGGUAGAAUUCCAGGUGUAGCGGUGAAAUGCGUAGAGAUCUGGAGGAAUACCGGUGGCGAAGGCGGCCCCCUGGACAAAGACUGACGCUCAGGUGCGAAAGCGUGGGGAGCAAACAGGAUUAGAUACCCUGGUAGUCCACGCCGUAAACGAUGUCGAUUUGGAGGUUGUGCCCUUGAGGCGUGGCUUCCGGAGCUAACGCGUUAAAUCGACCGCCUGGGGAGUACGGCCGCAAGGUUAAAACUCAAAUGAAUUGACGGGGGCCCGCACAAGCGGUGGAGCAUGUGGUUUAAUUCGAUGCAACGCGAAGAACCUUACCUGGUCUUGACAUCCACAGAACUUAGCAGAGAUGCUUUGGUGCCUUCGGGAACUGUGAGACAGGUGCUGCAUGGCUGUCGUCAGCUCGUGUUGUGAAAUGUUGGGUUAAGUCCCGCAACGAGCGCAACCCUUAUCCUUUGUUGCCAGCGGUCCGGCCGGGAACUCAAAGGAGACUGCCAGUGAUAAACUGGAGGAAGGUGGGGAUGACGUCAAGUCAUCAUGGCCCUUACGACCAGGGCUACACACGUGCUACAAUGGCAUAUACAAAGAGAAGCGACCUCGCGAGAGCAAGCGGACCUCAUAAAGUAUGUCGUAGUCCGGAUUGGAGUCUGCAACUCGACUCCAUGAAGUCGGAAUCGCUAGUAAUCGUAGAUCAGAAUGCUACGGUGAAUACGUUCCCGGGCCUUGUACACACCGCCCGUCACACCAUGGGAGUGGGUUGCAAAAGAAGUAGGUAGCUUAACCUUCGGGAGGGCGCUUACCACUUUGUGAUUCAUGACUGGGGUGAAGUCGUAACAAGGUAACCGUAGGGGAACCUGCGGUUGGAUCACCUCCUUACCUUAAAGAA
rnacentral:rRNA from 1 species